CUGUUCUAAUGCACUCUUUACAUAUCUUACGGAAUCCUCCCAGUGAGAUCUGUCUUCCUGAAGCAGGUUCCAAGAGGCUGACUUGCCAAAGUCAUGCAGAGCUGGGAUUUGGAGCCAGGUUUUUGACUCCAAAGCUCAUGUUCUUAACAACUUCAUGGUAUCGAAUAAAACAACAAAUACACAAAGGCAAUAAGGAUGGGCAGAGUUGUUUGGAUAUUGUCUAUCCCCUUCAACCAAAGAUGCCCGGGGACACGCUGAUACGAUUCUAGAAGAGCCACGGGGUGCCUGCGAGAGAGUGAAUCAUUCUUUAUUCAUCGAGUCAUUCAUUCAUGCAUGCCAUAGUCUGCCUUUCUUUGUGGAUUGCGGAUCUCGCAAAGCUACAAUGUGGAUGUGAAAAGGAGACAUUCACCUCUUCAUUUGCCCACCCACCAAACAUUUAUUGAUGCCUGCUUUGUGCCAGGAAUUAUGCUAAGUACUGAAGAUACAGAAUUGAAGGAUGCAUGGUCCUCAAGGAGACUCAUAGAAAAAAUAGGCUUGCAAACAAAUAAUUAUAUUUCAAGAUAUGAUACAGUUUGUAUGGAAUUACAAUCCAAUCAAGAUACGUCUGCGUGGACUAGUUCCAAGGUUGAAAUGUUAAAAGCAGUUUAUUAUUCCUCAGAGUGAUCAUUAUAUUGUAUAUUGUGAUUAUAGGCAAUAAAUUUAAUUUUUUUAGCAGUCUGAAUAUAACUAAUUAAAAUGAUACCAAAACAAUGUUGCUAAAAGGCUAAAUGAGGGUUGCUCUGAACAACUCUGCAAAAUAAUCUAUAUCACUCCCAUGUCCUUUUCCGGAUUAAUGCAACCAAUCCUAGUCCAG